GUGAAACGUGAGGGCAGCACUUGGAGAGGAAGUAGUUGAUUUAUGCUAAUGAAGGAGAUGGGCUUUAGCUACGCUGGCUGGGAGCCGCCCUUCAUUCACCACAUGGUUAAACCUGGAGUCUACUCGCGCCACUUUCGCAAUCUUACUACGAUUCCCAAACUCCUCGUAAUUCAUAAUAGUAGCACAUGGUUGUGUUUUUUGGAUUAGGCGUCUUAGCGGCUAUUCAAUUCCCGAAGUCUUCUCCCCUUUUUCUCAGUUUUGCACGUUUUCCUGAAACCGCGUGAGUAAACGACACCGUGUGGCGUUAAGGCAACAUUCUUCAAUCUGUGAAUGACGGCUCCCCUUGAACAGUUAAGUCACUGUAGUGUCAAAGUGCUUACAGUGCAGGUAGUUCUGUAAAAUCUACUGCAGUGUAGGCACUUUAAACACUAUUCUGAGAAUAUGAACUUGUGGGUUUGGCCUUUUCAAACACAUCCUGUUUCAUUCCUGGAUAGACUGCAUCUAAGUGGACCAUGUGAGACACCAGUCUGCUGUCAUGAUUGUCACUUGUGUGUUUCUGUCUUCAUCAGGUUUCAUAAAACGGAUAAUAUUUAAAGGAAUCAUUUAAAAUAUAUGAAUUUAAAAGCAUUUCACCAACUGGAUUAUUCUGACUUUACUGGUAAUUGGCAUAACUGGGUUGCUUUCAACUAGUGCUUAUGCUAAGGUGCAUCUAGUGCAGAUAGUGAAGUAGACUAGCACCUACUGCCCUAAGUGCUCCUUCUGGCAUAUGGUGCUGGGACUCUCAUCUGCCCUGCUUGUUUGUGUGUGUGCGCAUUCAGUUUUAAUCAUAACAGUCCUCUGUUAGUUUUGCAUAGUUGCGCUGCAAGAAGAAAUAAGUUGUGCAAAUCUAUGCAAAACUGAUGGCGGCCUGUGUAUCAGUCUAAAUCCUUUUUGAUUUUUGUCCCCCCUCAAUGGGGAUCAAUCCAUUUCCACAGCCAUCAAUGUAAAGACAGGUUUCAGUAGUAUUAAAGUGCUUAUAGUGCAGGUAGUUUUGUAACAUUCUACUGCAGUGUGAGCACUUAAAGUACUUCUAGACACAAGUGUCAUCUUGGAGAACUGUAUGUAGCUUGUGGACAUGGGUCUCUGGUUAGUUUUGCUGAUUUGCUUUCAGCUUCUUUUUUGUAAUGCUGUGCAAAUCCAUGCAAAACUGAUCAUAGAACUGAAAUGAAUCUAUCAUAAGUCAUCCCUUUUCUGUGCAGGUUGGGAGAAGUAGCAGUGCCCUGUAUACUUUGUGGUAUUGCACUUGUCCCGGCCUGUUGAGGAUAUAGGGAAUUAUUCUGCACUGUUUAUGAUUUUUUCCUCUGUGAAAGAACUCGCAUGUUUAGAAUAAGGACCAUCAUGCUGCUCAUCUAGUCUGAUUUGCCAUCUGUAGGUAAAUAUAGGUAAAUAUGGCUGUAACGAAAACAUGACAUUGGCUAAUUAGUGCUUUUUAGUACAACAAAUGUUUUUUUGUUUUUUUUUUUGGAUUUAACAUUUUUUUUCACAAUAGCUUUCACUAUGGGCAGUUUGAUAAUUGCUGUUGUUAAAUGGUCAAUAAAGGUUCAGUUAUUUAAAAAAUG